rnacentral:rRNA from 1 species
CAAGUCGAACGAGAAAGCCGGGGCAACCUGGUGAGUACAGUGGCGUACGGGUGAGUAACACGUGGGUAAUCUACCUCCUUGUGGGGAAUAACGCUGGGAAACCGGCGCUAAUACCGCAUAAGCUCGAGAGAGGAAAGCAGCAAUGCGCAGGGAGAGGAGCCCGCGGCCGAUUAGCUAGUUGGCAGGGUAAAAGCCUACCAAGGCAGAGAUCGGUAGCCGGCCUGAGAGGGCACACGGCCACACUGGCACUGAAACACGGGCCAGACUCCUACGGGAGGCAGCAGUGGGGAAUCUUGCACAAUGGGGGAAACCCUGAUGCAGCGACGCCGCGUGAGCGAUGAAGCCCUUCGGGGUGUAAAGCUCUUUCGGCAGGGAAGAUGAUGACGGUACCUGCAGAAGCAGCUGCGGCUAACUACGUGCCAGCAGCCGCGGUAAUACGUAGGCAGCAAGCGUUGUUCGGAGUUACUGGGCGUAAAGGGUGUGUAGGCGGUUGCUUAAGUUUGGUGUGAAAUCUCCCGGCUCAACUGGGAGGGUGCGCCGAAUACUGAGUGACUAGAGUGCGGGAGAGGAAAGUGGAAUUCCUGGUGUAGCGGUGAAAUGCGUAGAUAUCAGGAGGAACAUCGGUGGUGUAGACGGCUUUCUGGACCGUAACUGACGCUGAGACACGAAAGCGUGGGUAGCAAACAGGAUUAGAUACCCUGGUAGUCCACGCCCUAAACGAUGCAUAUUUGGUGUGGGUCAUUCAGUUGAUCCGUGCCGGAGCUAACGCGUUAAAUAUGCCGCCUGGGGAGUACAGUCGCAAGGCUGAAACUCAAAGGAAUUGACGGGGGCCC